GAUGAGGAACAUCGGUUACUUGGUGAAGCUGGGGCUGUUCUCCUUGGGGAAGAGAGGAUUAAGGCGUUCAAAAUCACGAGGGACCUGGACAGAAUAGAAAGGGAGAAAAUGUUUCAAUUGGCAGAAGGAUCCAGAACUCGAGGGCACCGGUUUAAGAUUGUUCCAGAAUUGACCUUUGAGGAUAAUUGUAUGCGUUUCCGUUUUGGUCUUAUCUGCCGUUUGAAACCUGGUUCACUCAAGCAACUGAAUCAGAAAAUCAAAGUUGACAGAGUGGAAACUGAGCCCAUGGAAUAAGAAGCCUGAGUAUGCUCACUGUCACCUACGAACAUAACAUUCGAAUUAGAUGUGGCUUCAUUCCCUGGGUUGGUAUAUAACAGCUGUUAUCUGAUGUGUUAAUGUUCCUCGAGGUCUAGGAAGGCCACAGAAGCACUGUGUAAACAAGGGAAGAAUUAAUAAA